rnacentral:rRNA from 1 species
UACGGAGGGGGCAAGCGUUGUUCGGAAUUACUGGGCGUAAAGCGCGCGUAGGCGGCUUUGUAAGUUAGAGGUGAAAGCCCGGGGCUCAACUCCGGAAUUGCCUUUAAGACUGCAUCGCUAGAAUUGUGGAGAGGUAAGUGGAAUUCCGAGUGUAGAGGUGAAAUUCGUAGAUAUUCGGAAGAACACCAGUGGCGAAGGCGACUUACUGGACACAUAUUGACGCUGAGGUGCGAAAGCGUGGGGAGCAAACAGG